rnacentral:rRNA from 1 species
CGGUCCAGACUCCUACGGGAGGAGCGUAGGGAAUUCUUCCGCAUGGCGAAAGCCUGACGGAGCAACGCCGCGUGAGUGAUGAAGGUCUUCGGAUCGUAAAACUCUGUUAUUAGGGAAGAACAAAUGUGUAAGUAACUAUGCACGUCUUGACGGUACCUAAUCAGAAAGCCACGGCUAACUACGUGCCAGCAGCCGCGGUAA